UACGGGGGGGCAAGCGUUGUUCGGAAUUACUGGGCGUAAAGGGCUCGUAGGCGGCCAACUAAGUCCGACGUGAAAUCCCCAGGCUUAACCUGGGAACUGCGUCGGAUACUGGAUGGCUUGAAUUCGGGAGAGGGAUGCAGAAUUCCAGGUGUAGCGGUGAAAUGCGUAGAUAUCUGGAGGAAUACCGGUGGCGAAGGCGGCAUCCUGGACCGACAUUGACGCUGAGGAGCGAAAGCGUGGGGAGCGAACAGG
rnacentral:rRNA from 1 species